CGGCCACCCCCAGAGCCCUGGCAAACUCACUGCAGCCUUGGCCUGGGGAAGGAAAAGGACGUGUGGGGGAUGGUUUCACCUCCCUCCAGCCCGGGGAGGGGGGGUCAAAUUCAGCCAGAGCGACUGGGGUGGGGGUCAGUGGGUUCUCUCCAGCCCAGAGGUCGCUCAGGAGGUACCAGGGAAUGGGGGGGAUCAGUGGGUCCCCUCCAGCCAGAGGUCGCUCAGGAGGUCCUGGGGGGAGCAUCAGUGGGUGCCCUCCAGCCCAGAAGUCGCUGAGGAGGUACCAGGGGAUGGGGAGGAUCAGUGGGUCCCCUCCGGCCAGAGGUCGCUCAGGAGGUCCCAGGGGGCGGGGGGGUUGGUUGGUCCCCUUUGGCCAGAGGUUGCUCAGGAGGUCCCAGGGGGUGGGGGGGGUCGGUGGGUCCCCUCCGGCCCAGAGGUUGCUCAGGAGGUCCCAGGGGGCGGGGGCCCAUCUGCCCCCUUCUGACACUCCCUCCUC